AGACGAUCGGCUGGAUCUUCGGAUCUCCCCGAUAUGAACCUUCCCGUGCUUUUUAGAACAUAGAUGGCACCAGUCAGGUGACCAUCGAAACGUAAUACGCCGCGAUGACUUCGGUCACGACGGUAUGGCGAGCUUUCGCCGUCCACGUUUCUCUUUCUUCAAGAAGACAAAAAACCGCGUCGAUCCAGUUUAGGCUGGGCCGGUUCCCCGAAUGGGCCCGUAGCUCAGUUGGUUAGAGCACACGCUUGAUAAGCGUGGGGUCGGAAGUUCAAGUCUUCCCGGGCCCACCAUUUGCACCAGCAAAUGAAAUUUGCUGUAGCGAAUGAGGGUUAGGGAUGAUGGAAUGUGGCUGAUGCGGAUUGUUGCCGAACCUUGGGGGCUUGUCCUUGGGGUGAUCGAGCUGGAGGGGCUGUAGCUCAGCUGGGAGAGCACCUGCUUUGCAAGCAGGGGGUCAGCGGUUCGAUCCCGCUCAGCUCCACCAAAUCGAUUGGUGUUGAAGCUGACGGUAACGAAGCGAAAGCUUCGCAAGCGCAAGGCGCGUCGCCAAUCGUUUGGCGCCCCCGCGGAGCGCCUUCGGCGCGUGAGCGACAAAUUUGUCUUUUGAAGAAAUAAAAGUUUUGCAUCGGCUUAUGGCUGAUGCGUGUUCUGCAUACAUUGUGAAGAGAAGAUUGAUCUGGAGGCUUCCAGGUGUUUUGGGUUCUGCCCAAGGCGUCCGAGCCCAGUUCUGAUGAUCCCAUGGAUGGCCUAGCCGGCCGGAUAUGGGUGAAGGACUGGAGGGUGGAAGGAAGCUUGUCACUCUGGGUUGUUCGUUGUUCGUUGCCUUUGGGCUUCGUCUGAUGAACGAUCGGAUUACCGUUGCCUGACCGCGCGGUAUCGGAUCAUAUCUCGAGAAGCUGGUCUUAAGACAGGCUGCAAGCGAGCUGCUCGGCGUAGCUCCAAUAAAGCAGACCUGUCGAACACGUUAAUGGCAUUGUUGGAUUGACUGGGUUGUAAAAGGUAACCCGGUCUGUUGCCGUUCCUUCGGAACGGGCAACGAGACGAUGAGCAUUGGCAAUGAGAACGAUUAAGUGUCGUAAGGGCAUUUGGUGGAUGCCUUGGCAUGCACAGGCGAUGAAGGACGUGAUACGCUGCGAAAAGCCGUGGGAGCUGCGA
rnacentral:misc_RNA from 1 species